rnacentral:rRNA from 1 species
GAUGAACGCUGGCGGCGUGCUUAAUACAUGCAAGUCGAGCGAACAGACGCGGCGCUUGCUCCUCUCUCGUUAGGGGAGGACGUGUGAGUCACACGUGGAUAACCUCCCUAUCAGACUGGUAUCAUCUCGGGACUCCGGCGCUAAUCCCGGAUAAUCUCUUGAACCGCAUGGUUCAAUAGUGAGAGACGGUUUUGCUGUCACUUAUAGCUGGUUCUGCGCCGCAUUAGCUAGUUGGUAAGGUAACGGCUUACCAAGGCAAGGAUGCGUAGCCGACGUGAGAGAGUGGUCGGCCACACUGGAGCUGGGACACGGUCCAUGCGCCUACGGGAGGCAGCAGUAGGGAAUCGGCCGCAAUGGGCGGGAACCUGACGGAGCAGCGCCGCGUGAGAGAUGAAAAUCUUCGGAUCGGAAAACUCUGUUAUGAGGGAAAAACAAAUGUGUAAGUAACUAUGCACGGCUUGACGGUACCGGGUCAGAAAGCCACGGCUAACUACGUG